rnacentral:rRNA from 1 species
AGAGUUUGAUCAUGGCUCAGGAUGAACGCUAGCGGCAGGCUAAUACAUGCAAGUCGAGGGGUAGAAGAGGCUUGCUUCUUUGAGACCGGCGCACGGGUGCGUAACGCGUAUGCAACCUACCUUCAUCUGGGGGAUAGCCCGGAGAAAUCCGGAUUAAUACCGCAUAAAAUCACAGGAUGGCAUUAUCCAAUGAUCAAACAUUUAUGGGAUGGAGAUGGGCAUGCGUGUCAUUAGCUAGUUGGCGGGGUAACGGCCCACCAAGGCGACGAUGACUAGGGGAUCUGAGAGGAUGGCCCCCCACACUGGUACUGAGACACGGACCAGACUCCUACGGGAGGCAGCAGUAAGGAAUAUUGGUCAAUGGAGGCAACUCUGAACCAGCCAUGCCGCGUGCAGGAAGACUGCCCUAUGGGUUGUAAACUGCUUUUAUUCGAGAAUAAACCUUAUUACGUGUAAUAAGCUGAAUGUACCGAAGGAAUAAGGAUCGGCUAACUCCGUGCCAGCAGCCGCGGUAAUACGGAGGAUCCAAGCGUUAUCCGGAUUUAUUGGGUUUAAAGGGUGCGUAGGCGGCCUGUUAAGUCAGGGGUGAAAGACGGUAGCUCAACUAUCGCAGUGCCCUUGAUACUGAUGGGCUUGAAUGGACUAGAGGUAGGCGGAAUGAGACAAGUAGCGGUGAAAUGCAUAGAUAUGUCUCAGAACACCGAUUGCGAAGGCAGCUUACUAUGGUCUUAUUGACGCUGAGGCACGAAAGCGUGGGGAUCAAACAGGAUUAGAUACCCUAGUAGUCC